GCUGUGACCGGGCGGGACCCGCUGCUGCCGCAUGCCCUGCUCCUAGGGCUGCCACAGAACUAGGAGACCCUUGGAGGUUCUGCUUGGAGGGAUCUGGCUUUGGGAGACUGGAGCUGAAAUCAGCAAGGAGAGGGCAUGUCACUUUAACAGCACAACAGACCGUGGUGUUGUGAUGACAGCAGCGCGGCUCAAGCCCGCGGGAGCCUUGAAGAGCCUUGGUUUUCGAAGGAAUCAUGAAAACUGACUUCUUCAAGAAUGAAAUCAGCAAGGAAACCAGUCCCAUUUGUAAGAUGGUAUGAAAAUAACUAAAAAUCUUGCAGAUUCUUUCAAGAUGAGUGGCCUUUUGGCCUAAAUACACAUUGGUCACUGCGUUCAUCACUGAAGGAAGAAUAAAAUGGAUAAAAAUUCCACCACAAUCACCAGACUGGAAGCUCAUUGAAGUGGUUUGGCACAAGAUGCACCACCUGCAUGCACAUAUUAAACUACUCCACAGGAUGAAUUGUUGGGUGGUAUCCACAAAUACCGAAUACGAUUUUAACUUGGGAAUUUGUAAACAAGUGCAUGGACCUUACUGACAAAGAACUGCCAGCAAAAAUCUAACCAAACUAUUCUAAAGAUAUUUCUCAAGAAUAAGAAA
rnacentral:lncRNA from 1 species